GACAGAGGUGCCAAGCGUUAGGCGGAAUCACUGGGCUUAAAGCGUGUGUAGGCGGAUCGUUAAGUACCUUGUGAAACCCCACGGCUCAACCGUGGAACUGCUGGGUAUACUGGCGAUCUUGAGCCACCUAGGGGCGAGCGGAACAAGCGGUGGAGCGGUGAAAUGCGUAGAUAUCGCUUGGAACGCCAACGGUGAAAACAGCUCGCUGGGGGUUUGCUGACGCUGAGACACGAAAGCCAGGGGAGCAAACGGG
rnacentral:rRNA from 1 species